rnacentral:rRNA from 1 species
UACAGAGGGUGCAAGCGUUAAUCGGAAUUACUGGGCGUAAAGCGCACGUAGGCGGCUUUGUAAGUUAGAGGUGAAAGCCUGGGGCUCAACUCCAGAAUUGCCUUUAAGACUGCAUCGCUUGAACGUCGGAGAGGUGAGUGGAAUUCCGAGUGUAGAGGUGAAAUUCGUAGAUAUUCGGAAGAACACCAGUGGCGAAGGCGGCUCACUGGACGACUGUUGACGCUGAGGUGCGAAAGCGUGGGGAGCAAACAGG